rnacentral:rRNA from 1 species
GGUAGGAACCGAAAGGCGACGACCUCGGGGAGCUUGCACAGGUGCUGCAUGGCUGUCGUCAGCUCGUGUCGUGAGAUGUUCGGUUAAGUCCGCUAACGAGCGCAACCCUCGCUGUGUGUUACAAGUGUCACACGGUACUGCCGGUCUUAAGCCGGAGGAAGGUGGGGAUGACGUCAAGUCAGCAUGGCCUUUAUGUCCUGGGCUACACACACGCUACAAUGGCUAACACAAUAGGUUGCUAAGCCGCGAGGUGGAGCCAAUCCUCAAAGUUGGUCUCAGUUCAGAUUGCAGGCUGCAACCCGCCUGCAUGAAGAUGGAGUUGCUAGUAACCGCAGGUCAGCUAUACUGCGGUGAAUACGUUCCCGGGGCUU